UGGAUUCUGCUUUCGGGGUCUUGAUGCA
rnacentral:piRNA from 1 species